rnacentral:rRNA from 1 species
UACAGAGGGGGCAAGCGUUGUUCGGAAUUACUGGGCGUAAAGCGUGCGCAGGCGGUUUUGUAAGUUUGUCGUGAAAUCCCCGGGCUCAACCUGGGAAUUGCGAUGAAGACUGCAAGGCUAGAAUCUGGCAGAGGGGGGUAGAAUUCCACGUGUAGCAGUGAAAUGCGUAGAGAUGUGGAGGAACACCGAUGGCGAAGGCAGCCCCCUGGGUCAAGAUUGACGCUCAUGCACGAAAGCGUGGGGAGCAAACAGG